GAACUUGUAACCUUAAUAUUUUAUAUAGAAAAAAUAAUAUUAUAAUGUAAAAUGUUUUGCAUUUUUAUUUGUCCUUUGUCAUCUUCUUAGUGGUUGAAUAUGAAAAAUGUCCAAAAGUAUUGAUGUUUGUAGCAGAAGUUAUUUUAUAAGUGGCAUCAUAAAUACAUAAAACUUCUAUACUUCAAUGUUUGUUCUAGUCAAUGAAACUUGCCACUCAGUUGCUUGUUCAUUUUCCCAUAGUGGCACUAAGGCUAAUUGAGAAGCCCAAUUACGUUGUUUUUUUUUAUUCUUGUAUUUUUCAGUCAAUUUGGGGAGAAAAAUUUAGGGGCUGACUGUUAUGUAUAAUGGAGAAGGGCUGGCUAGGCAACUUGGGAAGUUUAUUUCUUUACUCAUAGAGAGCAGAAGACAUUCUUAAGUCUUCUUUUGUAAACAGAAGAGCAGAUCUCACUCUUUAGACCUAAUGUGACAACUUUGACAUUAUCUGUUAGGUUAAAUUAAUAUUUUAUAUUUUUUCUCAAAGUAGAGCCCUGUUUGUUUACUCAUUACCAAUAGAGAUAUACUGUUUUGCAAAUAAUGCUAUUUAAAAUGGAAUGGAUGUUUUUAUCUCUUAGCAUCAUCAUGAUUCCAGUGGAUCAAAACUCUUUGAAUUUCAGAUUAUUAAAACUAAACUGCUGUGUUUGUUUUUCUGUUUGUUUGCAGUUUUCUAAACGUCUUUUAAUUUACUAUAUUAUGAUUUGGUAGUCACAGAUAUCCCAAGAUAAGGGCAGUUGUUAAAUCUGCAUUUAAUAGAUAUGCAGUUAGGGUUCAGAAAGACUUAAUAGGCUUAAGAGAGUGUCUUAAGAGAAGUAAAUUAAUAGUUUAAGAGAGCUUCUGUCCUCUCAUCCCUAGUCCUAGUGCUUUUUUUACUAAAUAAUGCUAUCUUUCCAAGAAGAGAAUAUUGCCAGCCACUUUAGUCAUUUAGAGAAUUUGUGCAAAGAACCAAAUCCAGUUAUUUAGAAAGAUCAGUGAGAAGCACUGUAUUAUUCUUUCUCAUUUUUUUUUCUUAUUGUGAGAUAGAUUGCACAUACAGAAAAAUAUGUGAAAUGUAUAAAUAGUUUAAAUACUUUUAAGUGAAAACCCAUGCAGUUACCAUCCAUCUAGAAAUAGAACAUUACAGGAUCACAGAACCCUGCCUCCUUCCCUUUCAUGGCCCUUCCUGAUUGGAACUUUACACCUACCAAAAGGAAACCACUAUUUUGACUUCCGUGAUAAUUUCUUUGCACUUCUUUAUAGUUGUGCCUUCUUCACAUGUCUUUCUAAAGAAUACUGUUUAGCUUUGCUUUUUUUUCUUUUGCUCAGCAUUACACUGGUGAGACUCAUCCAUGUUUUUUCCCUUUAGUUGUAAUAUAGCAUUCCAUUGUAUGAAUGUAUCCUGUAGAGAUUUGUGUUGGCUUCUGCGAGGCAGAGAUGUCCGAUUAGUGCUAAAUGCUGCCAAGAAACAUUAAGUCAGGAAGAAGAUUAGUGAAUUAUGGAAGAUGGAGGUUGCAGUUUUAAGUAAGCUGGUUAUAGAAACCCUCUCUGAGAAGUUGACAUUUGUGCAAGGACCUAAAGAAGGGAAUGUCAAUUUUGCGGGCCCCUGAAGGAAGGAUAUCAUCAGCAAGAGAACAGCAAAAAGGCCCCGAAGUAAGAGCAUUCAAGAGUGUGAGGUCAGUGUGACUGUUAAUAGGGGAUAUUAGUAGGAGGUGAUGUUAGGUGAUGAUAGGGAGGAAUAAUUUUUUAGGGCUUUUGAGUCCUUCCUAAGGACUUUAGCUUUUAAGUCUAUAUGAGAUAGAUUGCCUCUGGAAGAUUUUGAGCAGAGGACAUUAUCUAACUGAAGUUCUAAAAGAUUGUCUCUAGCUUAGCUACAUUGAGACUAUAUUGAAGGGGCCUAAAGGCAGAAGUGGGGAGAACAUUUAAGAGUUAGUUAUAAAUAAUCCAGUGGGAAAAUAUUAUGGUUACCUGAACCAAGGUAGUUGGGGUGGUGGUGAGAAGUGGUAGUAGUCUGGAUAUAUUUUAAAGUUAGAGCUGAUGGAUUUCCUGGCAUAUUGUAGAGAAAGAAAGGUGGCUGUAAGUGUUUUGCCAUCAGCAAAUGGAAUUGCCAUUUGCUUGAAAUGGGCAAGACUCUGGGAGACUCAUUUCUUGAAGGGAAGAUGAAGAGUUCAUUUCUGAGUAUAUGAAGUGUAAGAUGUUAGACAUCCAGGUGGAGAUGUCAAGGACAUAUGUACCUGGAGUUCAGUGGACAGAUCCAGUUGUGGUUAUAAAUAUGAGAGUUAUUAGUUUUAUAGAUGGUAAUUGAAGCCAUGAGACUAGAUGACUCAACUAGGGAGAGAAUAUGGCUAGAGAAGAUUUAGAGAAUGAUGAAGUGAGAAACAACCAGCAAAGGAGCCUGAAAAGGAGUGGCCAGUGAUAAAUAAGUCAGAAUAAUAUUUUAUAGGGAGAAGACCUUAGUCUUCUCCCUGUAAAAUAGAGAGCUACUGCAGCCAUAUUCACCAAGAUAAGGACUGAUAGUUCACCUUUGCAUUUGGCAACAUGAACUCAUUGAUAACCUUAAGAGAGCAAUUUUACUGCAGCAUUGUGGGUAAAAGACUGUUGAGAGUGGAUUCUGCAGAAAACAGGAGAGAGAUUUAAGGCAGUGAAUGUACAUUGGUCCCUCAGUAUCCACUGGAGAUUGGUUCCAGGAUCGACCCUUUUCUAGAUUACUUAUACUACCCAAUAUAAUGUAAUUUUAAGUAAAUAGUUGUAUUAUGUUGCUUUUUAUUUGUAUUUUUUUUUGUUAUUAAUAUUUCAAAUACUUUUGAUCUGGAGUUGGUUGAAUUAGUGGAUGUGGAAGCCAGGAAUAUUGAAUGCCUAAUGUAGAAAACUUUUUGAAAGGAAUUCUCUCAAGGUAACAGAGAAAUGAUAUGGUAUUGCUAAAGCGUAUGGUGUUUGUUUUUAUCCUGGGAGGAGUACAACUUGUUUUUUAUUGAUGGAAAUGACUUGGUAGAGGGGAAAAAUUACAAGAGCAAUAUCCUUGAGUAGGUGAGACUGGAAGGGACUCAGUGUAGAAGUAAAUAGGCUUUUUCUAGUUCACACAGAGCAGCAAGGAUGACAUUAAGAAGUCCAAUGUAGAUGAGUGAGUAGGUAUUAUGGUAAAAAGUUACAGAAAAUCUCUUGUGAGGGAUUUUUUUUGGUUUUGUUUUGUUAAUUAGGAGACAUGGUCAUUAGGUAUGGGUAAUAAUGAGGGAGGCAAAGAGAAAGGUUUUAAGGAAACACAGAAAUUCAAAUAAACUAGGGAAAUAGAGGAUUGCCAGGUAAGAUAGUUGAGUAAAGCAAUAUAUAAUGUGGUGUCCGGCACAUACAAACAAAUGCUUUUUUAAGGGUAGCUGUAAGUUAUCUUAAAGGUAAGUUUAUUCUUUAGUUUUCCUUUUUAAAUACUUUGACAGAUUGUAGGGUUGGGGUUGUACUGUCUUAAUAAAAUGAACUGGGAAGUUUCUCUUUCUAUACUCUGGAAUGGUUAAGAACUGUAACAGAAUUUUCUGUUUCUGCAGGUAUAACUUUAAAAUUGCCAUAAAUUUAUCUGAAUCUAGAAGUAUUUCCAGCAAUAGUUACGUUGAGAACAUUUCCAAUCACUACAUGUUAUUGUCCUAUCAGUUUUCUACCUCUCUGACAUCAGUUUUGUUCAUUUGUUUUUCAUUUAAUUUACUUCUCAAGUUCGUUAGUAUCAGCACGAAGAGUCUUUAUAACUUCUAAUAUCUUUGUAUUUGAUUUAAAAAAAUUUUUAAUCUUGCACAUUUGUGUUUAUAUCCCUUUUUCUUGAUUACACUUGCCAGAAGCUUUGCUUUCUUAUCUUUUCAAGUGCUUGGUAAUUUAUUUUUGCUUUUCUUGUUUAAUAUUGAAAGCAGUUAAGACUGCUAAUUCGCUUCUUGGUACAUAUUGACCAAAUUUCAUAAAUUAUGUCUUGUAUUGUUUUCAUUGCCAUUAGUUUGAAAUGUGUUUUUU